GUCUUCGGACGCUGACGAGUGGCGAACGGGUGAGUAAUACAUCGGAACGUGCCCAGUCGUGGGGGAUAACUACUCGAAAGAGUAGCUAAUACCGCAUACGAUCUGAGGAUGAAAGCGGGGGACCUUCGGGCCUCGCGCGAUUGGAGCGGCCGAUGGCAGAUUAGGUAGUUGGUGGGAUAAAAGCUUACCAAGCCGACGAUCUGUAGCUGGUCUGAGAGGACGACCAGCCACACUGGGACUGAGACACGGCCCAGACUCCUACGGGAGGCAGCAGUGGGGAAUUUUGGACAAUGGGCGAAAGCCUGAUCCAGCAAUGCCGCGUGCAGGAUGAAGGCCUUCGGGUUGUAAACUGCUUUUGUACGGAACGAAAAAGCUUCUCCUAAUACGAGAGGCCCAUGACGGUACCGUAAGAAUAAGCACCGGCUAACUACGUGCCAGCAGCCGCGGUAAUACGUAGGGUGCGAGCGUUAAUCGGAAUUACUGGGCGUAAAGCGUGCGCAGGCGGUUAUGUAAGACAGAUGUGAAAUCCCCGGGCUCAACCUGGGAACUGCAUUUGUGACUGCAUGGCUAGAGUACGGUAGAGGGGGAUGGAAUUCCGCGUGUAGCAGUGAAAUGCGUAGAUAUGCGGAGGAACACCGAUGGCGAAGGCAAUCCCCUGGACCUGUACUGACGCUCAUGCACGAAAGCGU
rnacentral:rRNA from 1 species